UCCGUAGGCGGGCUAAUAAGUCAGGGGUGAAAUCCCACAGCUUAACUGUGGAACUGCCUUUGAUACUGUUAGUCUUGAGUUAUAUGGAAGUAGAUAGAAUGUGUAGUGUAGCGGUGAAAUGCAUAGAUAUUACACAGAAUACCGAUUGCGAAGGCAGUCUACUACGUAUAUACUGACGCUAAUGGACGAAAGCGUGGGGAGUGAACAGGAUUAGAUACCCUGGUAGUCC
rnacentral:rRNA from 1 species